UAGCCUAGUGGAUAAGGCUAUGGACCGCCAAUCCGGAGACGGCGGGUUCGAUUCCCGU
rnacentral:tRNA from 1 species